UGAGGAAUAUUGGUCAAUGGGCGCGAGCCUGAACCAGCCAAGUCGCGUGAGGGAUGACGGUCCUACGGAUUGUAAACCUCUUUAGGCGGGGAGUAAUGUGCUCUACGCGUAGAGUAGUGAGAGUACCCGCAGAAUAAGCAUCGGCUAACUCCGUGCCAGCAGCCGCGGUAAUACGGAGGAUGCGAGCGUUAUCCGGAUUUAUUGGGUUUAAAGGGUGCGCAGGCUGUGCAUCAAGUCAGCGGUAAAAUCUCGGGGCUCAACCCCGUUUAGCCGUUGAAACUGGUGUUCUGGAGUGUGCGCGAGGAAGGCGGAAUGCGCGGUGUAGCGGUGAAAUGCAUAGAUAUUGCGAAGAACUCCGAUUGCGAAGGCAGCCUUCCAGUGCAUGACUGACGCUGAGGCACGAAAGCGUGGGUAUCGAACAGG
rnacentral:rRNA from 1 species